AUGAAACAUAUGACUAAGGGUAUUCCAAAUUUUAACCUCAAUAGAUUUCUUGAUUUUGAUCUAGAGGAAAUUUAUAUGUUUUGUGCGGAAAAUUGCAUUGAGAAUCCUUAUAUUGCCAACUAUCUAAAGACAAGAAAACAAAUAGAGUAUGAAGAGAAUACUAAUGGAAGGGAAAAUAUUUUCCAAUACCCUCCUAGUGUUUCUUAUGAUGAAUUAGGUAACGAGGAGGAGCUUCCUAUCCAAUCAAUCUCUUCAAUAAGAAGCUCGAAAAAAAUGAUUAAACCCACACAUGAGGUGGUGAAGAAGAAAAAGAAAAGAAGAAAAAGUAGAGGUAAAACGUAA
rnacentral:rRNA from 1 species